AUUGAACGCUGGCGGCAGGCCUAACACAUGCAAGUCGAACGAGUGGCGGACGGGUGAGUAAUGUCUGGGAAACUGCCAGAUGGAGGGGGAUAACUACUGGAAACGGUAGCUAAUACCGCAUACCAUCAGAGGUGACCAGAUGGGAUUAGCUUGUUGGUGGGGUAACGGCUCACCAAGGCGACGAUCCCUAGCUGGUCUGAGAGGAUGACCAGCCAAACUGGAACUGAGACCCGGUCCAGACUCCUACGGGAGCCAGCAGUGGGGAAUAUUGCACAAUGGGCGCAAGCCUGAUGCAGCCAUGCCGCGUGUAUGAAGAAGGCCUUCGGGUUGUAAAGUACUUUCAUCGGGGAGGCGUUACCCGCAGAAGAAGCACCGGCUAACUCCGUGCCAGCAGCCGCGGUAAUUC
rnacentral:rRNA from 1 species